rnacentral:rRNA from 1 species
UACGUAGGGUGCGAGCGUUGUCCGGAAUUAUUGGGCGUAAAGAGCUUGUAGGCGGUUUGUCGCGUCUGCUGUGAAAAUCCGGGGCUCAACCCCGGACUUGCAGUGGGUACGGGCAGACUAGAGUGUGGUAGGGGAGACUGGAAUUCCUGGUGUAGCGGUGAAAUGCGCAGAUAUCAGGAGGAACACCGGUGGCGAAGGCGGGUCUCUGGGCCGAUAUUGACGCUGAGGAGCGAAAGCGUGGGGAGCAAACAGG